rnacentral:ncRNA from 1 species
AGUCCCGCUCCGGCAAGGCAGGCCAGCCGCCGGAUAGAGAACUCUGGGCCGGCGGGAGCAAUUCCAAAGGUUAAGCACAGGGGGAUCAAGACAACAGGCCGUAAGCGAAAGCUGAAGUGAUUGAGCCUCGAAAGCAGCGAACUGGGAAGGAUGACGUGGUUAAUUACACGGAAAUCAAAAUGGGUGAGGGCGACUGGCAAGUGCUCAUCCGCUUCCCCGGGGUCGUAGAGC